UUGCGAAGACAGCCCACAAGGCCUUUACUGACGCUAAAGCUCGAAGGUGCGGGUAUCGAACAGGAUUAGAUACCCUGGUAGUCCGCACGGUAAACGAUGGAUGCCCGCUGUUUGCGAUAUACUGUGAGCGGCCAAGAGAAAUCGUUAAGCAUCCCACCUGGGGAGUACGCCGGCAACGGUGAAACUCAAAGGAAUUGACGGGGGCCCGCACAAGCGGAGGAACAUGUGGUUUAAUUCGAUGAUACGCGAGGAACCUUACCCGGGCUUGAACUGCAGGAGAAGGAUACAGAGAUGUUGACGCCCUUCGGGGCUCCUGUGGAGGUGCUGCAUGGUUGUCGUCAGCUCGUGCCGUGAGGUGUCGGCUUAAGUGCCAUAACGAGCGCAACCCUUUUCAUUAGUUGCCAUCAGGUCAUGCUGGGCACUCUGAUGAUACUGCCACCGUAAGGUGUGAGGAAGGUGGGGAUGACGUCAAAUCAGCACGGCCUGACCGGCGGUGUGUACACACCCGUUACAAUGAUUGGUACAGAGAGUCGGUAGGCGCAAAAGUGAUCCAAUCCUUAAAACCAUCCUCAGUCCGAAUCGCAAUGCAAACCACGCCACG
rnacentral:rRNA from 1 species